UCUGGGAUUAGAUACCCUGUUAUUUAAAAUGUAAAUUUUUUACUUAGGUAGUAAUAGUUAUGUUCUUGAAACUUAAAAAAUUUGGCGGUAUUUUAGUCUAUUCAGAGGAACCUGUUCUGUAAUUGAUAAUCCGCGUUGGACCUUACUUAAAUUUGUUUAGCAAUUUAUAUACCGUUGUUAUUAAAAUAUUUUUGAGAAAAAUAAUAUUUAAUAAUUUUGAUAAAAAUUUAUAUCAAAUCAAGGUGUAGUUUAUGUUUAAGUAGAAAUGGGUUACAAUAAAAUUAUUUUAUGGAUAUAAAUAUGAAAAAUUUAUUGAAAUUGGAUUUGAUUGUAAAAUUAUAAAGAUUAAUAAUUUGAUUUUAGCUCUAAAAUAUGUACAAAUCGCCCGUCACUCUCUGA
rnacentral:rRNA from 1 species